rnacentral:sRNA from 1 species
AUAUCUCUCUGUACGGGAAGGAUGAGAAGCUUCGACUAAGGUUCGAUUCGAGCGUCAGCGAGAAAGCGUUGCCGCAGGCAACGACCCGAAGGGCGAAGCGCGCAGCGCUGAGUCAUCCUUCCCCCACUACCA